rfam:Oryza nivara chromosome 11, whole genome shotgun sequence.
UUUAAGUACAACCAUAAGUUUCUGUACCUAACUUUAAUCGUUUGUCUUAUUUAAAAUUUUUUUAUAAUUAAUAUUUUUAUUGCUAUUAGAUAAUAAAACAUGAAUAGUAAUUUAUGCAUGACUUACGUUUUUAAAUUUUUUAAAAAAAAUCUUUUAGAUAAGACAUCAAAUUUGGACACGAAAAAUCAUGGUUGCACUUAAA